rnacentral:rRNA from 1 species
AUACGAAGGGGGCUAGCGUUGUUCGGAAUUACUGGGCGUAAAGCGCGCGUAGGCGGAUUGGUCAGUUAGGGGUGAAAUCCCAGGGCUUAACCCUGGAACUGCCUCUAAUACUGCCAGUCUUGAGUUCGGGAGAGGUGAGUGGAAUUCCUAGUGUAGAGGUGAAAUUCGUAGAUAUUAGGAAGAACACCAGUGGCGAAGGCGGCUCACUGGCCCGAUACUGACGCUGAGGCGCGAAGGCGUGGGGAGCAAACAGGAUUAGAUACCCUAGUAGUCC